rnacentral:rRNA from 1 species
AGCGAACGCUGGCGGCAGGCCUAACACAUGCAAGUCGAGCGCUCGUAGCAAUACGAGAGCGGCAGACGGGAGAGUAACACGUGGGAACGUACCCUUUGGUUCGGAACAACCCAGGGAAACUUGGGCUAAUACCGGAUAAGUCCGCAAGGAGAAAGAUUUAUCGCCGAAGGAUCGGCCCGCGUCUGAUUAGCUAGUUGGUGAGGUAACGGCUCACCAAGGCGACGAUCAGUAGCUGGUCUGAGAGGAUGAUCAGCCUCACUGGGACUGAGACACGGCCCAGACACCUACGGGUGGCUG